rnacentral:lncRNA from 1 species
AGCGUCGAGGGGGCUGGCCGUAUGAACCGUCCAAUCAGGUGUCCAGAGGGAGGAACAGUUUCCUGGCGCCAAAGCCCAGAUCCUGAGCACACUGAUAAGAGAGAGUCGCCGCAGCUGGCUAGAGCACCUUGCUUUAGGAUUUCUCCUGGCUGCAGGCUGCGCUGGAAGGACCCUGGGAGACCCUCCAGCCACACCAUGAUAUAGCUGGUCAGAAGUUAUACAUUUGUCCUGGCUCUGCUGCUCAAGGUCUGAAAAAAACAGCAUUUUAGAAACAAAACUCCCCACCAAGAAAAACACAAAGGCAAGUCACUUGUACUAAAAUAUCUUAAUUUUUUCUUGUUAAGGAGUAGAGGUGGUAGGAUAUAAAAGAAAGAAAUUCUCAGCAAAGAAAUUUUGAUUAAUAUCCUGAAACGGGUGGUGUAGAAUGAACCAAGGACCAUUGGUCAGAGUGAGGGGAAGUUUAAACCGCAAUAAAAUCACCAAAAUUAGCCAACUAGCUGCAUGAUCAGUGAGUACAGAAGGCUGUUGAUUGUAUCUAAUCCAGAAAAGGGCAAAGCAGGUAUGGAUACUAUCUUUAUCAAAAUUAUUCUGAAGAAAAUUCUUAAGGAC